rnacentral:rRNA from 1 species
UACGAAGGGUGCAAGCGUUGUUCGGAAUUAUUGGGCGUAAAGGGUUCGUAGGUGGGAAGAUAAGUCAAGUGUGAAAUCCCUGAGCUUAACUCAGGACGUGCAUUUGAAACUGUUUUUCUUGAAUGUUGGAGAGGGUCGUGGAAUUGCUGGUGUAGGAGUGAAAUCCGUAGAUAUCAGCAGGAACACCUGAGGCGAAGGCGGCGACCUGGCCAAACAUUGACACUGAGGAACGAAGCGUGGGGAGCAAACAGG